AAGGGAAGGAGGCUGGAGGGGAGGGAAGGAGGCCGAGAAAAUUGGUUACCCAAAGUCAAAAAUAGCCCCAGUGACUCAGAAAUGGAGCAGUUUGGAAUCACAAUGAUUUCUGGGGAGAGGGCAAGGAGCGGCUGGGGUGGAGGUAGGGGCUGGUCCUUCUUUCUUCCCUUCCAGCAAGCCUGAGUCAACAACAGAAUGCAGCCCCUGGCCCCCUUCCAGCCAGCAGAAGCACGAGGACUUUCCUCUUUUCUCCAGGCUAAGUAUCCCCAGUUCCUUCAACCAAUUCCCAAGUGGCACAAUUUCACUCCUACUGUCCUACUCUCCAAAAUGCCAUGCAUAUGGUGUGCUUGUUGUUGUUGGUUGACUCUCGAACCGAGGAUGACGAUUGUCUUUGUGCGUUUUUAUACACAAAGACACCUGUGCAUGAAGAUUUAAGUGGAAAAGUCGAUGCACAGAGACAGUCCCACUCUCUUGGAGUUGGAAGCCUGGGUCCAUUGGCAUGAAAAGUCGUUACACCUGGAGACUUCCUCAGCUGCAUUGGAUGGCAGUGUUGUCUUUUGUGCUCCAACACACCCUAAACACUCCACAGUGCUUUGCUGCAUCGCCAUCUCAGCCGUUGAACCUUCUUGUUGGUUUCUUCCAUCUGUUCGGCCAAAGCAGUCUUCACAUGCUGGGUGAGCAAAGUCCUAGUUCACCAGGGGUCCACGACGACCCGAUGGCUACCCUCACAAGGUUUAGCCGGCCUGUCAAAGCCUUUGCCCGGGGGUGUGGCCGCUGCCGCAUGCUAGCAGCUACUAGGAGCCACAAGUGAGAGCUGGGUGUCAGGUGAGGGUCAGUGGCUGGAGAGCUGCCCUAGAAGGGCACAACAAGCCCUCCAUACCAGAGAUAUUACCCCUCCCUGAGCACCCCAUACACCCCACACAUGGUGUGCAUGGAUGCACAAAUGCACAUACACAGAGCCAGGAAUGUUCUAUCCUUCUACCUAACCAAAUGCUACCCAUUCUUUCAGGUCCAACUCAAGCCCUACAUUCUCCAAAAAGCUCUUCCUGACUACACCUGCUUGACUGAUUGAACAAACAUUGAUUAAGCCCCUAUAAUUUGCAGAAGAAAAAAGAUAGUUUUUGCCUUCAAUGUCUUCCUGACCUCUGAAUUUCUAUAACUUACAACCCAAAUGGAAAGAGUAAAAAUAUUAAUUCAUAAACAAAGGUGCAAUGAACUCUCAAGAAAUAGCCUGGAUAAGCUUGAAAGGAGGAGGGAUAUAGGGGAAAAGAUGAAAAAGGAGGAUAUUUCUGGAGGCAAUGGAUUGAAGGUUAGGCUGUGGAAAUAGCAGAGUCUUGCAAAGCUUUGCUUGAGAGCCUGGAAUUUAAACUUAUGCUUCUGAAUUAUGGGAGGAAUCAGAAGGAAGUCAACCUUAAGGGUAAUAACCUUGAGCAAGUCCAGGCCUGGCAGUAGGCUAUUUGUCCUAUUCCUCAAAGUAAAGUGGUUUUCCCAGGGUUCUUAAGGUCCCCAUCUGUAUGUGCCCCUUUUGCCUUUUCCCACCAAUAGAGGUCAAAGACCUAAGUGUUUGACACUGGGCAGGAGCAAUAACAUUGUGUCCUGGUGACACAGUCUGUGUUAUCAUCCCAUUGGGAAAGGGACUAGUAAUAGGAACUCUCAGAUGAAGAAACUCCAUGAAUUCAAGUCAACCCUUUCUCUGCUAUUGAUUUUCCUUGCUUUGAAGAAUUUAUCUUUAUCAAUGUAGAUCAGCUACUAUUUUUUAAUAUAUACUCUUAGAGACUUGUCAAGAGAUAUAUAAAUUGACUUGUCAGGGUCACCCUCCCAGGAUGUGUCAUAGGAGGGACUAGAACCCUAGACUUCCUGGACUUAAGACCCAGACACAUAGAGGUAGCUGGUGCCCAAGUAUAUAGAAUGCUGAGUCAGCAGACUGGAAGAUCUGAUUUAAAAUCUGCCCUCAGAGGCUAACUGUGACUCAAGACAAAUCAUUUAACCUGUGCUUGUCUCAAUUUUCUCAACUAUAAAAUGGGGAUAAUAGCACUCUUCAAAGGAUGUUUUAUAUAAUCUAAAUAUAUAAUCUAUAAUAUAUAAUUAUAAUUUUUAGAUUACAUAUGGAUAAUACAUAAAAUAGAUUAUAUACAUGUAGAUUACAUAAAUGUUAUUACUAUAUUAUAUACCAUAUAGUAUAAGAUUUCAAUUAAUGUCCAGCAACUCCAAGAUUUAUAUUUUAUAAAGUUUAUUAAUAAUCCUAGAAGUAAAGGAAUAAAAAGGUAAUUAUCUAACAAAAUAAGACGACAUGACUAAAUUUUCUUGCCUGUUUAAAAAGCUGCUCCACCAAAGCCAUGAUAGGAAGAGAAGAGAACGAGAGGUGGGGCUACACCAAAUUUAUAUCCUCCCUACGUCAGUAUGUAAGGUGAGGAGGAGAGUGGGGUGAAGAAAUUAUAGUUCUAGGGUACAGGUACAGAUAUUAAUUAUACAAUAUACCAUAUUAUAGAUUAUAUACUAUAGCAUA